rnacentral:rRNA from 1 species
UACGUAGGGGGCUAGCGUUGUCCGGAUUUAUUGGGCGUAAAGAGCGUGUAGGCGGCCAGGUAGGUCUGGUGUGAAAACUCGAGGCUCAACCUCGAGACGUCGGCGGAAACCAUCUGGCUAGAGUCCGGAAGAGGAGAGUGGAAUUCCUGGUGUAGCGGUGAAAUGCGCAGAUAUCAGGAAGAACACCCGUGGCAAAGGCGGCUCUCUGGGACGGUACUGACGCUGAGACGCGAAAGCGUGGGGAGCGAACAGG